GGAACACUUGAGAAGGGAAAGAGGACAGCUACAAAUAAUUUUCUGGAAUUUUUAGUUUACUUUUAAGGAAAAUACAGACUGAAUACCAUUCCUACUAACACACGGUGAAGUUACUGUAUUCUAAAAGAUAAAGUGAGGGCUUAUUUAGUGUUUUCUGUCCUCAUUUAGGCAAAAUAUGCAUGUGCAGUAAGAUUAUUACUACAGAGGUUGUGCUUCUGCUCUUUUGCAGAUGUAGUAAGUCAUGUUGAGAAAUCAUUCUUCAGCAAAAAAUGAGCUAAUUCUUUUUUACUUUUUCAGUACCAUUUUUUUGUCAGUUGUGAAUGUUGCCAUGGCAGCAGGCAGUCUUAAAACAUUCUGCUUGCCUGCAGUAUUGCAGUUUAGUAUGCUGCUUCUUAAUGGCACAGGUGCCAUCUUGCUGCAAAUUUUGGAAGGGCAGGCUUCUUAGCAAUUUGAAGACUAUUUGGUGGACAGAGGUAGUAUUAGUAGCCAGCAAGCAGCAUUUGAGAAGUGUGAAUAGCAAAGCUGGCACGACAAGUUAGAGGAGAAAGCCACUCUUCUGUGCUUCCUGUUGAAAUGUUGUACUGAAUGGGUGUUAUGUCAAAGGAAUGACUACAACCAGAAAAAAGAGGGAUUUUGAGGAGGGGGGAGCAGGAGCGACGUCCUAUUCUGUCUCAGAUUGUGAAGGAAAUCUGACUCAGCAGCACAAUGGAAAUUACAAAUUUAUCCAACAUUCCUGGCUACUAAGAUGUAAUUGUGCAUCUAAAGCUAACGGGAUCUCCUUAAGGCACCAAAUGACCAAUACUGUCUUCAAGACAUUUUUAUUUCCAAGACAAAAUAUUGAUAUUCUGUAAUAAUGAAACCUUUGAAAAUUAUUCUGAAGCCUGAUCAGCAUUAGUAUCAUUAAUAAAAUGGUUGUUCCUAGCCA
rnacentral:lncRNA from 1 species